GCUGACACAUUCCAGCCAAUCAGCAGCAGACCCUCCCUCCCAGACCCUCCCACCUCCUGGACAGCAUCCAUUUUGAAGCUGCAUUCUUAGUGAGCUGUCCAGGAGGUGGGAGGGUCUGGGAGGGAGGGUCUGCUGCUGAUUGGCUGGAAUGUGUCAG